AUGUCCCCACGCCCCUCCCCCACAGGCACAUUUUCUCACAGCUCCAGCGCCAGGCGAGGAGGGAGCGUCUCUGCCCGGACUCCGCUGCGGUCGGUCCCCCCAAGCAGCCCGAGCUGCGGUGAACGUGUCCAGCACUCCAAUCAGCAGACCCCGCGCUCAUUGUCCACCGCUGCCCGCAAAGGCAGACGGUGCAGCAGUUCUCACGGUGCAUCAGCCAGCGAGUGGAUUGAUGAGCAGGAGACGAGGAGAGAGAAAAAAGCGACCCAGAAGGACAAGCUGAAAGGGGUGGGAGGGGGGUAUUUACCCCCUACACGCCCCAGAUCUGCAUCCUCAGUGACUUAAGUACCACACACAUCAGCUGCCGUCAAAGCUAUGACAGCUUCAGCCGAGAGCAAGGGAAAAACCAGCCUCCCGGGGUCUAGGUUAGAAAAAGGAAGCUCAGACCGAUGCCUUGGAAGGAAGAAAAACCAAAUCAAUCCACCCGGGGAACACAGAUCCAGCCGCAGCUCUCGCCUCGGGAGUGGGCUGCCAAGAGGCAUUGGAAGCUGUCUUGCUGGUCACGUUGUCGUUACGUGGGGUUAAACAGAGACGUCUGCUUGCCCCCCCCCCAAUACCUCUGGCAGGGAAAUGGGGACCUUGGGGUGAGUCUCGCAGCGGCCUAGAUUGACCUGAGGGAGGCAAAGGACAGCUCCGCGCACAGGCACCGUUACAAGAAUGUUACCAAACAUCCAUUUUCUCCAUUUUGGAAAUGGAGAUGGGAGGCAAAGGCAGGAGAGAAAAUGCCCCCACCUCUUCUCCAUAUCUUACUACGUAAAGCCUGACGUCGUGACGUUGCGGAUCAGGAUAGGUUAGCUGCAUCCAUAUUUUAAUAAUUUUUUUUGCGGAGGGGGGGGUGAGUCAAGCCAAGGAGAUGCUGCGUGUCUGAUCUUCUAGAGGAAAAAUUCUAAAAAGUGGAGACUUCAGAUACUAGUGCGUGGUAAAUCAGUAACCCCCGACGGUCAAUGUAAAACCAACCAACCAAUAAAUAAAUACACCCCCCCCA
rnacentral:lncRNA from 1 species